rnacentral:piRNA from 1 species
UAGUUAAUUCGCCUAGAAGUACGAUUCUCCU